AAGGUGAGGUGCGCAGUGGGUUCGGCAGUGGGGUCGCCCCUCGGGGCGUCGCAAGAGGGAGCCCGGUGUGAGUCCGGGACUGCCUCGCAGCGGUGAGUGGGAAACGACCGCCGUCAUAGAGCACUGGGCCUCCGGCCUGGGAAGCGACGGCCGGUAGCGUCCGUCCUUCGACCUUCCGGAAGCGAUCGAACACGCCUACGAGUCCGAAGACCUGCCCGCUGCCCGUGCGCGCC
rnacentral:ncRNA from 1 species